rnacentral:rRNA from 1 species
CCUACGGGUGGCAGCAGUGGGGAAUAUUGGGCAAUGGGCGCAAGCCUGACCCAGCAACGCCGCGUGAAGGAAGACGGCUCUCGGGUUGUAAACUUCUUUUGACAGGGAAGAGUAGAAGACGGUACCUGUCGAAUAAGCCACGGCUAACUACGUGCCAGGAGCCGCGGUCAUACGGAGGUGGCAAGCGUUGUCCGGAUUUACUGGGUGUAAAGGGCGUGUAGCCGGGUUGACAAGUCAGAUGUGAAAUCCUACGGCUUAACCGCAGAAGUGCAGUUGAAACUGUUGAUCUUGAGUAGUGGAGAGGCAGACGGAAUUCGUGGUGUAGCGGUGAAAUGCGUAGAUAUUAGGAGGAACACCAGUGGCGAAGGCGGUCUGCUGGACAGCAACUGACGGUGAGGCGCGAAAGCGUGGGGAGCGAACAGGAUUAGAUACCCGGGUAGUC